UUAAUUAUUUAAUGGGAGCAAAUGAUUAUACUCUGUAUAGAGUUGUUCAGCUUAACUAAUGAUUGACCUUACAUGAUUAUGAAAUAAUUAUCAAGUCCAAGUCACACAUGAUAAACAUAGGUUAAUCUCUUGGUUUUUAAUCCUAUAUAACUUAUUAGCCAUUUAAUUUUGUUUAGUGAAAGUACUCAUUUAAUUUUGUAUAGUCGAAGUACUGUCUCUUAUAUAGGAAACAAUUAUGGUGUAAACAUUAUUUCAAGUUUGAAAGAGUCCUAUAUUACUUUUUAAAUGUUUACUUUUGAGUGAGUGUGUGAGCAGAAGAGGGCCAGAGAGAGAAGGGGACAGAGGAUCUGAAGCGGGUUCUGUGCUGACAGCGAGCCCGGUAUGGGGCUCAUACUCCCCAACCAUGAGAUCGUGACCUGAGCCGAAGUCGGCCUCUUAACCGAUUGAGCCACCCAGGUGCGCCCCAAGAGUCCUCUAUUUUAAAAGUUGCUUGUUACAAGCUGCUUCUCAAGGACCUUUGAUGCUUUAAAGGGUAAUAUCCUCUUAAAGAAUAUGGAUGUGGUUAGAUUUAAGCAUUACUGAUUGUUGUUUUGUUAAUGCUUUUCGGUUUUGGCACAUGGCCGAGAGGAGAGAGAAUGGGGAUAGAUAUGUACUUUGUUAAUGGUUUAAAAGUGAAUUUAGUUUUGGAAGUUAUUUUAAUGCAUCAGUGUAUAGCAGAAUGCCCAAGAAAUAAAGUGCAGCAGUAGGCUAUAAGUUUUUACAGGGUAUCUGUGCUAGCUUAAUGGAGAGACAUUUUAUUCCCAUAGAAGAGCAAAAGGGUUUUCAAGGAAACACUGAUAAAAUAACCUGUUUCUGUUGUGUUUUUGUUUUUUGAAGUAGGCUCCACGUGGGGUUUGAACCCAUGAUCAUGAGAUCAAGAGUUACAUGCUCUACUGAUUGAGGCAGCCAGGUGCUCCCAACCUGUUUUGUUUUUGUCUAAAAAGUUUGUCUCCACAUUUUAAUACUACUUUUGUAGAAGCUACUGAAACUAGGAAAACUUGGUUUUCUUUGUUUUGGUACUAGUUUAUGUCUUCUAACAUUCACAUAAAGGAGGGACUUUUCCUGAGAUUAUCAAAGAGAAUUACACUGAUCUUUUGUUUUUUUUAAGUAUAUCACAUCAUGACAUCAGUUUUCAGGUGGAACAAGUGAGCAUAUCAUGAUCAAGAAAACCUACAGGUUUCAGUGGAAGUGGGUUUAAAUAUCUGUCUUAAGGUACUAGAUACCCUGGAGUAAGAUCUUGAUCUUUAAGGAUACUUGGGCAUGUUUUCUCUAAAGGUCUUAAAAAGAAUACAACAAUAAAUGUUAAUCUAAAAAGAGGUAGAAACAUGGGAGCUUCAUUGUUACAUCCAAGAAUAACCCGUGCCUCUUUACCUCUUUGAAUUCAUAUCCUUUGAAGCCCUUACAGAUGUAUUCAUAAACCGAGAUUAUCUCAAGUUUACAAAUUUUAAUGUCUUUUCACUUUCAGAGGUAAAAUAGCAAUCUAUGCCCCUCUAUAAUUCCUCUAACAGUUUUAGGAUAGAGUUUCUUUUAACUCAAACUGAAUAUGGAAGCAGUUUUUUGCAAAAUUUUUGUGAUAUGGAAUUAGAGGUUUGGAAUGUAUGUUAAUAGUACCUAUAUAAAAAAUUGAGUAUUUAGCGUUUUUAAAUCCAUUCUAGGUGCGUGUGUGUUGACUAAAACUAAAAUAAUUUUUAAAAAUCUAGGUAGCUUUCCGUUUUUCUUUGAAGGAUAAUAUGUAUACUGGUAAUUCUUUUAUUAUCCUUAAGCCAGGAUCCAUUCUUUGCCUGCUGGGAGGCCAUGGGCCCACUUAACCUUUGCUGACAGUCUCACAUCUUCCUGUGGUUUAACUCAGGAGGUACUGGCAGGACAUGGGGAUCGGCAUUCGGUAUUUUCUUCCUGCAUAGCUUGCUCUUUGGAGAUGACUACAUCCCUGUGAGACCUACCACUACAGCCUCGCUGGUAGAUCUUCUCCCCGCCUUUAUUUUUUAAAGUUUAUUUUGAGAGAGAGUGCGUACACACUCGUGGGAGGGGCAGAGAGAGGGAGAAAGAAUCCCAAGCAGGCUCCGCACUGUCAGGACAGGGCCCAAUGUGGGGCUCAAUUUCAUAAACCGGGAGGUUAUGACCUGAGCCGAAAUCAAGAAGAGUCAGACGCUUAACCAACAGGGCUUCCCCAACACCCCUGGUAGUCUCUUUUUUCGUGCCGUUUAGCUCUUAAUAGGUGAAGGUAACAUUUCCCUGUUCAUCUAGCCUCACGGGUGGCAAUUGCUACACUAGCUGCCUCAGUAUUAUCUUGAAUCCCCUCUUCUCCCAAUGUUGCCCAGCAGUAGUUCUUUGCUAAGGUCUCUCCAUUUUCUUGCAUUUUCUUGCCAGGAUAAAAUGCAUUUUCUUGCUCUGAUAAAAGUCAACAGAAUACUCUUAUCCAAAAUCCUUUUCUUAAAGUCUGCCUUGCCUUGUACCUAUUCUAGUGUAUUAGAACAUCAGUAAAAGUGUAAAGAGGACUUAACUUUUUUUAAUCAUAGAAUUACUAUAGAAUGUUUCAGGUUGUCAAAAUAAUAAGGACAAACCAGAUUUUAGAUUUCUUAUUUUUUUAUUUUAUUUUUAAUUUAUUUAUUUUUGAGAGAGCACGAGUGGGGGAGGGACAGAGAGCAAGGGACAUAGGAUCUGAAGUGGGCUUCGCUGACAGCAGAGAGCCUAGCCUGAUGCAAGGCUCAAACUCAUGAACCAGGAGGUCAUGACCUGAGCUGAAGUCGGCCCCUCAACCAACUGAGCCAGGUGCCCCAUCAGAUUUCUUAUUUUUAAGUUGAGCAACACCUAACACUUCUUUCAAAGGUUUAUUGAAAAGGUUAUAUGAAUUAACUUACACAAGACUCUGAAGAUAGUACCUGACUGCCCUACAGAUGUGCUCCAUAAAUGUUUGUCCCCCUACCCUGUGGGCUGGCGUAUGAUAAAAUCUCCAAAAUCCAGGUAAACGUGGAAGAAUUAUACUAGGCACUGAGGAUUCAAAAUUUGUUUCCUAUUCUGCGGAAGUGGAUCCUCUAGAAAGGAAGAAAAGCAUGUAAAUUUAAGUUUUAUAAAUAGCAUUAAUACUCUUUCUACAGUAGUGAGAUUAUAGGGCGUGUAAAAAACAGUGACAAAAAGCAGAGAGCAAUGUCCAGCAGACACAUGUCCGUGUCUUCGGUUCCCAUGCCUCCUGCCUCUCAGGAUGCGUGGGUUUUGUGUCAAGAAAUAGUCACAUUUUCCAAGUAUGUACCUUGGUGAUUUUGCACAUUCUAGAGUAACAGGAAAAGGGCAAAGUAUAUUCAUUUAGAAGUUGAAUAAAUCCUUGGUAAUCAUGUUGGUGUAUUUUCCCAGUUAGAUAAGCCAGAAGCAUUUCACCACAUUGUUGUUCUUUUUCUUACAUUCAAGACUAUAGAUACUGUUGCUGGAAAUUUUACUGAGCCAGAAAAGGCCUUUUUGUUCUAUUAGCAUCAUGUUUUUCCCUUCAACCAAAGAAUUAGACUGCUUGUAAGUAGAAAUACCAUGCUGCAUGGUGUAACACUUCAUAAAAAGAACAUGUUAUGUAAACAUUAGCUGUCACCUGCCAGGCACUAUUCUAUGUGCCUUUUACACAGUAAUUUGGUUAAUCCUUACAGUGCCUUCAAAGAUGGAAAUUUGCCAUUUUACUGAUGAGCAACCUGAGACACACAGAUGGUAAGUGACUAGGAAAUGGCAAAGCUGGGAUUUGAACUCAACGUAGUUAGAAAGGCCAUGCUCUUUACCAUCAUACUACACUGCUGUGUUACUGUGUGUAGGAUAUGUGCUUCUAGUUAAAAUUUGCAUAUAGUUGAUUUUUAGGGUGCAAGCCCACUUUUUAAGUGUAAAAUUAUGAACUGUUAGUGAUGUUGCAUUUCAGAUAAAAGAUUUUAGUGGGCAUCAUUUGUAUUUAGAGAAGCUAAAUAAAAUUCUGUAUAAAUUUC